UAGUGUUGUCUACAAAAUGUUUAUAUUGAACAUGUUGAAACUGUGUGAGGUUCUACAUAGUUAAUGUUCUCAUCAUGUUUGUUUCUCUUCAGAACCGGAUGAGUGAGUUCGGUGCUUGGCAGCGUUCCAGGGACAGAACAGAGAACGUUCUCUCUGGAACCAUGUUUUUUUUUGGACAGAUUGGACAUCAAUGGAACAGAUUGUUUUUGUUUUUUUAAAUAAUUCGACUUAAACCAUCAUGAAGCGAUCUGUGACACCAGAAAGACUCCAUCAGUCCAAAGUGUUCAUGAUUACUGAACAGAGACAUUAGACAAACAUUAAAGCUCCUUUAAUCAAUGAUGACAUAUCAACAUUUAAAAAGUCAAACAGCAGAAACUUCAUGGAGCUUUACGAGCUAGAUGUGAUUAUUAGAAAUGUUCAUAUUUGAUUCAUGUAAAUAAUUUUUCUAAUGUUUUAGAGGAUUAGCCCAAUGAUUGUAAUGACUAAUAAAUGAUGUAAAGGUUAGGGUUAAGAUUAAAUUCUCUUCAGGUGCACGUCCACAAAGCCACUUACAAGAAAGAAGCCGUUUAAGGACAUUGAGUGUGCUGUCUCUUCUCUCUUCUACUUCUAAAUGAUGUUAAUAAAAUACACAAAUGUCAAAUAUGAUAUGAACACAUAACUCCACCAGAUGAACCCUGUUUUUAAAAACCGAGCUCAGUAUCUCUGUUCACCUUUUAAACAAUAAAAGUGAUGAUAAAGUGUU